UUCGGGUAUAACAUCGAANAAUCGGUGCUAAUACCGGAUAAUAAAAGAACUGCAUGGUUCUUUUUUGAAAGAUGGUUUCGGCUAUCACUUACAGAUGGGCCCGCGGCGCAUUAGCCUAGUUGGUGAGGUAACGGCUCACCAAGGCAACGAUGCGUAGCCGACCUGAGAGGGUGAUCGGCCACACUGGGACUGAGACACGGCCCAGACUCCUACGGGAGGCAGCAGUAGGGAAUCUUCCGCAAUGGACGAAAGUCUGACGGAGCAACGCCGCGUGAGUGAUGAAGGUUUUCGGAUCGUAAAACUCUGUUGUUAGGGAAGAACAAGUGCCGUUCGAAAGGGCGGCACCUUGACGGUACCUAACGAGAAAGCCACGGCUAACUACGUG
rnacentral:rRNA from 1 species